UUGUUUCAUACAUCCUCAACAGUGAUGUGACCCUUUGAUCUUUUACUUGUAAAUUCUCUGUCUGAUUCGACCUCUCCCACCGACACCUGAAGAAACAGCGAUGCUCCGAAAGCUCGUGUUUUCAAAUUCAUGUGACUUCUGACCUCGUCCAAAUGCUCGACUUUAACUGCCUGGUUAUACAGGAGGAAAGGAGCAUUUUAGCUGCCUAUUGCUGGAUGGGGUUAGUCGACGUUUGGUGUGACGAAUUGGGAUAGGCCACCUUUCGAAACCCUGUCCUUGGCUUCAUGCGGCUGUGGACAUAGGGGGAAUCGGCCGUUGAACCGACUCUGCACGAGACGCACAGCUCGCGUGAAACAACCGGGGAAUCUGUAAACUGCGCAUGUCCGCCAUCUUACCCCUUUUCGGAGACAGUGAAGGAAACAGCUGAUAUCCGACCUAGUGCAUAUGCGCGGCAUGGUACUCACCACCGAGCAUGAGCAGCUUCCAGCGGCACAGCUGUUCUGUGUUGACAGACGAAAUAUUUUGUUUGUUCGUGAAGGAAUUGCAACUCGAUGAUAUUGGAAGAUCUCCAUGGUACAUUUAAUAUUGAUUCUAAACAGAUUCUACACACGGACAGGAGAUUUCACAGCAGACGCCCACGAACAUUGCACCACCCUCCACCACCAGCUGCCAAUGUAGCUGUUGAUGAAAUUUCACAACUAAUUCUGUUAUUAUACAGAUGCAAACUUUAAUUGAUUUCAGUACUGUGCCAAAUAUCCACCUGGUAUUUAAAUUCUCUCCUCAGCCUGAUGUAUUGAUCAUGAGGAUUUUCUUGAGCAUGUUGGAUGUGGUAGAUCUGUUCAUGGACCACAAGGUGACACAUAUGCAGGGAUUUUUGGAAUCCAACAGAUUGAAUCCUGAUAGAUUUUCCAAAUUAAAGAUCAGCUGAUGCAUGUGCCUUUUUUAAAAUAAAAAUCUGUUCAAUUAUUA